GACUGAGCAGAAUGGUGCCAUUGCAGAUCAACACGCACUUUAAAUAAUCAAAACCCCUAUCUUUCCCCUGGGAAGGAGGAGGCCGAGGAAGGCUGUGUUUCUGACUCACACGGGGGAGUCGGGGGAGUCGUAAACAACCCUGAAGAGAACAGCCAGGCCUGGUGAGUCACUCCUGGGAGUGGCUCCUCCCCACCCUGCCACGCAGCGGCAACUGCGGGCUGGGCCUACCCCCUGGUGGCCACGCUCCCUCCGCACCCGGCCUCUCUCUGUGGCAUGGGGGCGGCCGUGCCCCUUGGUGGAGAUGAAUGGGAGUGGAGCUGGGCUGGCUGGGCAGGCAGGGGCUUGCCUCUUGCUGACUAAGGCAGCCCUGGAGGGGCCCGACCAUGGGGCAGGAACCCAGUUGCCAUCCUCAGAGCGAGGAUCAUUGGCCGGGCUCGGGGAUCAGGGCCUCUGUGGUCCCGGCACGCCUGGCCCGUGAGACUGUACUCUGCACGACUCCUCCAGGUGGCCAGGGUCACCGGAACUGGCUCGCUCUCCUCUGCCAGUUGCCGGAGGUCUGGGCACCAGGCCAAUUCUCACCUUCCCGCCAGGGUUAAACAUUAGUGGGAGGUUAUCAGCGUGGGCCAGGGGAGGGAGAGGGGGGAAUUCAACUCUGUCUCCUCUGCUGGAGCCGCCAGUUCCCGCAAGCCCAGACAAUGCCGGUGGAGGAAUUUGUGGCUGGCUGGAUCUCUGGUGAGACAUUUUUCUUCCUUCUGUCACAUCACACCCAAUGGUAGGUCACUUCCUGGGGAAGAUGGGUGACAUGGGAGGAGCAGAGACCAAAGUCUGAGUUCCGGCCUGGCGGGAGGAUCACUUGAGCCCAGGAGUUUGAGACCAGUCUGGGCAACAUAGGGAGGCCCCUGUCUCUACAAAAAAAUCAAAAUAAUUAGCUGGGCAUGGUGGCUCACACCUGUAGUCCCAGCUACUUAGGAGGAUUGCUUGAGCUCAGGAGUUCAAGGCUGCAGUGAGCUAUGACUGCACCACUGCACUCCAGCCUGGGUGACAGAAUGAGACCCUGCCACAAAAAAAAAAAAAAAAAAAAAAAGAAUCAGGGCAUGGUGACUCACACCUGUAAUCCCAGCACUUUGGGAGGCUGAGGUAGGAGGAUCACUUGGGGCCAGGAGUUUGAGACCAGCCUGGGCAACAUAGGAAGACCCUGUCUCUAUAAGAAAUGAGAGGCUGGGCGCGGUGGCUCAUGCCUGUAAGCCCAGCACUUUGGGAGGCUGAGGUAGGUGGAUCAUGAGGUCAAGAUUUCGAGACCAGCCUGGCCAACAUGGUGAAACCCCGUCUCUACUAAAAAUACAAAAAUUAGCCAGGCGCGGUGGCGCACGCCUGUGGUCCCAACUACUCCAGAGGCUGAGGUGGAAGGAGCCCUUAAGCUCAGGAGGUUGAAGCUGCAAUGAGCCAUGAUCAUGCCACUGCACUCCAGCCUGGACAACACCAGCAAGACCCUGUGUCAAAAAAAAAAAGUCUGGGUUCCGUGGAGCACCCCAGAGCCAGCUGUCCCCAGUCCUCCGGGGAGUGGCCGAUGGGAAGAAGAGAGGAAGGCACAGGUGGGAGGGUGCUGCCUCUGCCUUCCAAGGCCACUCUGCCUGACACCUGCAGAGGGCGGGAGAGCCAGGUGAGCACCCUAUACCUUGAGCCCUGCUCUCCAGGCCCACCCUGUUGGGCUUACAAAGGAAGUUCACCUUUGACCUCACCUGCUGUCCUGAGUCCCCUCUGGGCCUCUGCCCCACCUGGCUGUGGGCCGCAGUCCCUGGCCCUGAGGCCUGUUGUGCUGUGGUCCCAGCCCAGCUUCUGGGUGGCAUUCCUCUUAGGAGAAAGAGAGGGACGUUCUGAACCUGCCUCCUGGGGGUGCGACCUCCCCCAAACUCCAGAACCAGCCUCUGCUGUGGAGGGCAGGGCUAGGCAGUGGGCAGGUGGAGGGGAGGGGAGAAGCUCCUCUGCAGGUGCCCAGGCAUGACCCCCAUCAGGGCCCUGCAGUUCUGCGUGGCCAGCUGGCAGCAGGGCCUGCUCUGGAUCCCGGCGACGACAUUAUGAGUUGAAGAAACAAGAGUAAAGCUCUCGGAGAGGUGGGAACCUGGGUGAUUCUCCCAGAGUCCCGCGGCUCAUAGGUGGUGGGAUACCCGGGUAUGGGCUCCAGCGAGGACACGUACGUCUUUGGCUGGCUCUUCCCUCCUGGGUGUGCAUCCUCAGGUGGGGCCUGGGGUCUUACUCCCUUGUCCCAGUGCCUUCCUGGCCCAGUGCCUGUGUGGAGGGGGUGGCAGGGGCAGCUGGAGUCUCUAGAGCUUGGCAGGAAGGUGGCUGCAUGUGUCUGAGAUGGCCCUGCUCUCCUUCCUCCUGCCUGAACCCCUCUUUCCUCUUGGCACAGACUUGCUUCCUGGGCCUGGCACGAGGGCCCUCACUCAUAGCACCCUCUUGUCACCACAGGCGCUCUGGGCUUGGUCCUGGGACACCCGUUUGACACUGUAAAGGUGAGGCUGCAGACCCAGACCACCUACCGGGGCAUCGUUGAUUGCAUGGUCAAGAUUUACCGCCAUGAGUCCGUGAGUGGCCCACUCCUUUGGGGUCCUUCCCCUUUCGGGGAGGCAUCUGGGGCUGUUGGUACCAGCUUCCCUCUCCAGCAGGGUUCUGCUCCUGGAGGAGAGAAGACCAAGUCUGGGAUCCUUGGGGGGCCUGAGUGGUAGCUUAGCACCCCAGAGGCACAGCCUCAGCCCGUCCCUGCCUGUCCCCACUUCCCUGUGGCAGGACUUGGGAGCAGUUUCCAGCCAGAGGCUGCCUUGCCAGGGGUGGAGAGGACAAAGGGGAGGCCCCACGGUGCCUACUCCGCUGCCACUGUGUCUCUCUGCAGCUCCUGGGCUUCUUCAAGGGAAUGAGCUUCCCCAUUGCCAGCAUAGCUGUGGUCAACUCUGUCCUGUUUGGGGUCUAUAGCAACACCCUGCUGGUGCUCACGGCCACCUCCCACCAGGAGCGGCGGGCCCAGCCGCCCAGCUACACGCACAUCUUCCUAGCGGGCUGCACCGGGGGGUUCCUGCAGGUGAGGGGGCAGUGAGUGGGCACACACAGGUGUCAUAGGGAUGGUCAUCUCGAUCUGUCCUCUCCCACCCUGCCCUGGCGACCCACAGCUGUGGAGGCACAGGCCUCUUGGAGGGGAACAAGAGGCCUGUGCUAUGGCCUUCCAGGCUGCAGGCCUUUGGGGGAGGGCUGUGGGGAACAGAGGGGGCAAAAGGCAGAGACAGCUGGUGGGCAGUGCCAAGAGGGUGCUGGGAGAAGCAGCCUGGGCCACUCGCUCCAGCUGAUGGGGCUUGCCCCCCUCCAGAGGGGUCUGCCAGCCUCAGAGCUGUGGGGAGCCCACUCCCCAAGGAGACCUUUGACCCUGGAGAACCACCAGCACCCUGCAGAGCUGUGAGCCCAGCCCCUCUGGCCGGGUCCUGAUGAGGUCCUGACACUCCCCUGGCCCUGCCUGGCUCUACACUUUGCCUGCAGUGCUUGGGUGCCCAUGACCUGGGAGCCUCACCUGAGGCCCAGCCCAGCAGGGCAUUAACCAUUCAGGCACUGCCGUCAUCUGGGCUUUGGGCUUUAGAGGGGCGGAUGGAGGGAAGAGGGACCAGCCGCUGCCAGUGGGAGCCGGUGCUGAAUGGGUCCUGUGAGCAUAAGCAGGGAGAGGGUGCGCCCGGCACCCACUGACACCCCAGCCGCAAGCCAGGGUCGCCCUCUCCUGGGCAGCUGCCCCCAGUUCCUUGUCACACUUCAUGGGGCAGAGAGCAAGGACAAAGGACAAAGUCAGGCUGCUCCUUCAAAUGAAUUAAUGAUUAAUGAGACCCCCGGAGGCCCCGGCUUUUCUUCUGCCCCUUCUUGUGCGAGGCGCUACCUAUAGGUUUCCUGAGCCCCGCGAGCCACAUCCCACAAACACAAGGAAGAGAACCGAAGCCCUAAGCUAAGUGGCCAGGCCCGGCUUCUAAGUCACCCUGCCCCCUCCAGCUCUUUGGAAAGCAGAAGUGGGGACUGUGAGGGCCGCUGAUGGAGCCUGGGUUUACAGUCAAACCUGUGGCUUUAGUUUAACAGAGUCUUAAAGGAAAAAUGUGUUUUAGUGUGGAGUGGGAAGAAGAGGCAGGGACUGACAGCCUCUGACGGGCACAGACGUUGCCCUGGUCUUCGCCGAAGCUGAUCUUCUGAAAUGGCAUCUGACACUCCACCACCCCUGUGGGGGUGUCUGUCACCUGGUGUCAGCCUAGCCCUGUCCUCAGCCCCCAGGAGCUCAGGGCUCAGAACACCUCCUGAAGCCCUGAGCUCAGCCCUGCCAGCACGCUCUGGAGGGUGGCACAAGGCCCCAUCUCCCAAGGGAUGGUACCUAACCUACGACCCUUACUCCUGGGGCCAAAGUAAACAAGCGAAGACUUGGCCUGCCACACCCUAAGUACCACCACCCACCACCGGAGGCGACCGCCAGCCCCCGUUGCCAUCAGCCAUCUCCAGGGCUGAGGAACUGAGCCCAUGUACCUGUCACAAAACAAACAAGCAAAAAACAGAUAAAUCCCUCAGAGACAGGCUAGCCUUGACAUGGACCCCGAUUCUCACCUGGACUCCAAAAGCUAUCUUGACCUAGUGGCAUCUCUGACCCAAACCUUAAUUGCCCCCAUCGCCCUCUACAUCCCCCCAGCACUGACCCUCACCAGGACUCCAGCCCCAAUUCCAUCCCAAAUCUGUGUAGCAUCUGCUUCUGCCGAUUCUAAGAGCCCUAGCACCUGCCAAGUCCCCCCAUUACCCACCUUCCCACACUCAGAAGCCUCUUUGGUGGGAUGCUAAUGGGAAGGAGUCUUGCCUCUCUGGAGGCAGGAGGGGCUGGCCUUGUGCCCCUCCGGGCCUCUGAGAGGUGGGCGCAGGAGAACAGCACUCACGAGGGGACCUCCUUCACCCUGGGAAAGGGUGGUUUCUUUGCUAUUUCACAGUCACAGGCUGAAUCCUUCACUUGGCCCUGCCCACCGUACAGGUAUGCUCACUGCCGGCUUUAGGGAGGCCAGAAACCAACCUGCUCCUGCAAAAAGAAUCCAGGCUUGUUCUGAGUGCCUGCUGCAGGCCAGGCAAGUUGGUCACUGUUGCAUGAGGGGGCAGUGCCUCUCACUCUUGGGCCUGACGCCAAGGGAGGUAGCCUGUCCCGGUCGCAUGCAGACAUCCUGGCCAUCCCAGCCACACAUGCACGUGAGAGGCUGGGUGCUGGCAGGGUUCCUGAGGGACUGGAAGAUGUGGCCCCCUGCCUGCCUCCUUCCUCUUGUGAAUAUAAGGGGCCAGUUCCCAGCCCAAAGCCCCACCCGGGGCCCUCAUGUUUCAUCACCAACAGGCCUACUGUCUGGCUCCUUUUGACCUCAUCAAAGUCCGGCUACAAAACCAGACAGAGCCAAGGGCCCAGCCAGGGAGCCCCCCACCCCGGUACCAGGGGCCCGUGCACUGUGCAGCCUCCAUCUUCCGGGAGGAGGGGCCCCGGGGGCUGUUCCGAGGAGCCUGGGCCCUGACGCUGAGGGACACCCCCACGGUGGGGAUCUACUUCAUCACCUAUGAAGGGCUCUGUCGCCAGUACACACCAGAAGGCCAGAAUCCCAGCUCAGCCACGGUGCUGGUGGCAGGAGGCUUUGCAGGCAUUGCUUCCUGGGUGGCAGCCACGCCCUUAGACGUGAUCAAGUCCCGGAUGCAGAUGGAUGGACUGAGACGCAGAGUGUACCAGGGGAUGCUGGACUGCAUGGUGAGCAGCGUCCGGCAGGAAGGACUGGGGGUCUUCUUCCGGGGGGUCACCAUCAACAGUGCCCGCGCCUUUCCCGUCAAUGCUGUCACCUUCCUCAGCUACGAAUAUCUCCUCCGCUGGUGGGGAUGAGCCCUGCGGCAAUGCCAGCAGCUCCCCAUCAGGCCCACGGCCCGGAGGCCAGUUUGAGAUUGGAGGCCAGGUUGAAAGCUUGCAAAUCAGUGCAAGAGGCUCAGCCCUUCCUAACCAAGGUGCCUCCCACCCGCGCAGAUCUGGGCUGGGCAGACACCUGUGGGAGCCGGAAGCCAGGGGGCCUGUGCAGCCUCCCUGUGUAGCUGGCCUUGACUCCUUUGCCUCCCACAUCUGUGAAACAGGGAGCAUGAGGCACAAGUGAGCUGGCAAGUGGUGCUGGUGACAUCCCAGCUCCUGUCCUGUGCCUUCACCUCUUUUUUUUUUUUUUUUUGAGAUGGAGUCUUUCUCUGUCACCCAGGCUGGAAUGCAGUGGCGUGAUCUCGGCUCACUGCAACCUCCGCCUUUCCACCUUCCGGGUUCAAGCAACUCUCCUGCCUCAGCCUCCCAAGUAGCUGGGACUAUAGGCGCCCGCCACCACACCCAGCUAAUUUUUUGUAUUUUUAGUAGAGACAGGGUUUCACCAUGUCAGCCAGGAUGGUCUUGAUCUCCUGACUUUGUGAUCCGCCCGCGUCGGCCUCUCAAAGUGCUGGGAUUACAGGCGUGAGCCACCGCGCCCGGCCGCCUUCACCUCUUAAGGAGCUCUGAGACUCCGCUUCUGAGAGUCCCUGCGGCCUCCCACCUGCCUGCCUUUCAAAGCUCUCUCCCCCAUGACCCAGGAUAACCCUAUGUCUCCUCCCCCAGAAUCCUUCAGUGGCUCUCAUCACCUUCAGGAAAAGCCCAAACUCCUUCCACCCUCCAGGUUCCUCCCUCCCCACGAGGCUUUGUUCUCCUGGGGUUGCUUCCUGGACCCUGAACAAGUUGUGCUCUCAUUGGCCGGGCCUGGCCAGCAGUGCACAGUGCCUGGCAGGUUGACUCUACCAUCCCCGGGCUGGCCCCGCUCUCCUCCGAGACCCAGGCUGAGCCCAGUCUCCUCACCCUUCCUUGACUUACCUCCCCACCUGAGGCUGACUUUGGGGUUCCCAGACACCCUACCCACACACAUGCCUUGAUCAUAGCACUUGCCUGCGCUUCUUCAGAGUCAUUAAUUUGCUUCUCGGCUUCCCCACUGGACUGUGAGCUGCCUGAGGUCAGGGAUUGCGCUUUGGAUGGUUUCCAGCCUGAGCCUGGUGCUUGAACAGACGUGUGCAAUAAAUGCUCGUUAAAUGA
rnacentral:sRNA from 1 species